rnacentral:rRNA from 1 species
AUCUGCUGUUGAAACCGUUUACAGUCCGAUCUCCUCUGAGCUCUGAAGCGAAGCUGGUUCGGGCCUGCACAGUACUGGAUGGGAGACCAACGGGGAUAACAGGUGCAGUCCCGAUU